GAUGAACGCUCGCGAUAGGCUUAACACAUGCAAGUCGAGGGGUAACGUGUUGGAAGCUUGCUUCCGAUGACGACGACCGGCGGAUGGGUGCGUAACGCGUAUGCAACUUGCCUCACAGUGGAGAAUAACCCGGAGAAAUCCGGACUAAUACUCCAUACACUCUUAAGUACGCCUGUACAUGAGAGGAAAGAUUUAUCGCUGUUAGAUAGGCAUGCGUCCUAUUAGGUAGUUGGUGAGGUAACGGCUCACCAAGCCGACGAUAGGUAGGGGUGCUGAGAGGCAGAUCCCCCACAUUGGGACUGAGACACGGCCCAAACUCCUACGGGAGGCAGCAGUGAGGAAUAUUGGUCAAUGGAGGAAACUCUGAACCAGCCAAGUCGCGUGAAGGAAGAAUGUCCUAAGGAUUGUAAACUUCUUUAGCGAGCGAGUAAGGACUUCCACGUGAUGGGAGUUUGAAAGUAGCUCGAGAAUAAGUAUCGGCUAACUCCGUG
rnacentral:rRNA from 1 species